rnacentral:rRNA from 1 species
CCUACGGGUGGCAGCAGUGGGGAAUAUUGGACAAUGGGCGAAAGCCUGAUCCAGCCAUGCCGCGUGUGUGAAGAAGGCCUUCGGGUUGUAAAGCACUUUCAGUGGGGAAGAAAGCCUUGGGGCUAAUACCCUCGAGGAAGGACAUCACCCACAGAAGAAGCACCGGCUAACUCCGUGCCAGCAGCCGCGGUAAUACGGAGGGUGCGAGCGUUAAUCGGAAUUACUGGGCGUAAAGCGCGCGUAGGCGGUCUGAUAAGCCGGUUGUGAAAGCCCCGGGCUCAACCUGGGAACGGCAUCCGGAACUGUCAGGCUAGAGCGCAGGAGAGGAAGGUAGAAUUCCCGGUGUAGCGGUGAAAUGCGUAGAGAUCGGGAGGAAUACCAGUGGCGAAGGCGGCCUUCUGGACUGACACUGACGCUGAGGUGCGAAAGCGUGGGUAGCAAACAGGAUUAGAUACCCCAGUAGUC